CAUUCACGAGAGCAGCGCAGAGUUGCUCAGAUAAUUUGAACCACAGAUGCUGGAGAAUCCGAGAUAACAUGGUGUAGAGCUGGAUGAACACAGCAGGUCAAGCAGCAUCAGAGGAGCAGGAAAGCUGACGUUUUGGGCCUAGAUCCUUCGCUGAGUCCAAGAUUUGUGCAAUUGAGCUGCACCCCCAUUUACUGCCUACUAACCUCAUCCCACCCCCCUGACCUGUCUGUCCUCCCUAAACUGACCUAUCACCUCACUACCUCCCCACCUAUACUCACCUUUACCUGCUCCAUGCUGGCAUCUUUGACUUGUCCGUCUCCUCUCCACAUAUCUUCUCUCUCCAUCUUCGAUCUGUCUCCCUAUUUAGUUCACAACCCAAUUAUCUCAGGAUUUUGAACGUUGAAGAAGAAAGCAGCACUCACACUUUGGACAAAUGCAAAUGGUUUGUGUGUAAAAGAGUCUGAAGAUUCAUCUGAAAUGUUCUAACACCAUCGCAGUGACACUUGGGAGACACUGUGGAAAUGGGCAGAUUGCAAGAAGGAAUUUCUUCAUCCAUCCCAGCUGGAAACUGACCACCAGAGUCACACUGGAGAGAAACCAUUCACCCGCUCUGAUUGUGGUAUGGGAUUCACUCAGUCAUCUAACCUGUUUAAACACCAGGGAGUUCACACUGGAGAGAAACCAUUCACUUGCUUGGAAUGUGGGAAAGCAUUCACUCAGACAACUCACCUACUGAUACACCAGCAAAUUCGCACUGGAGAGAGACCAUUGGCCUGUUCUGUGUGUGGGAAAGUUUUUCUGACUCGAAUUCCCCUCUGACACACCAGCGAUUUCACUCUGGGGAGAGACCAUUCGUGAGCUCUGAGUGUGGGAAAGCAUUCACUCAGUCAUCCAAACUGUCACAAAGAACCACAGUUAAAGGAUUUUGCUAUCACGCUCACGAUCAAAUGAACCAUAGUUUUUGGCUGUUUGUACUGAUGUUACUAAUCUCUGCUCAAUUAAAGGUGCUGAUGUUGUGAAUAAAA